GGAGAAACAAAACUGAACGAGAAUUCUUUUACGAAUCACUAAAAUCAAAGGGGUUUUCAAGUUAUCAAAUGGUGCCAAUACAAGAAGUUGGGAGCCAAUACAUUGACAAUAGAUAGAUCAUCUGCUUGAUUUUUAAUUCUUUAAAUCUGGGAUUACGAUGCUUUCCUACGGAGAUGGCACAACAAAAAUGAACUAUUUCUAUAAAAAAAUAUUAAAUAUUUUCUUGGUACAAAAUUUCCUAAAUGUUAUCUUACAUGUGACCUAUAUUAAGAAAAAGUCACCCAGACGGUUUUGGUAGAUGCCGACGUUGAGAAUUACAUAAGUCAUCUUAAGAUAUUUGAUUUGGUCCUUGUUGUUAUGAGUAUAAUAUGAGGUUACAUAAUAGUUAAUGGGCAAAUAAAAUUAUUUUUACUCGUCAAACACAAGGAGAUUAUCAAACUUAUUUUAGAUCAUGAUGAGUAAAAGCAUGAAUGAUAAACAUUAAGGGUGAAGCAUUUCCUAUUGAUAAUGUACAGUAUAUAUUAUAGGCGUAUCAUUAUUAAUCAAGCUAUAGGCAUCGAUUUUGAGUGUAUCAUUUCAAAAGGCAUAGAUUUAAAGAUACUAAUUACUUUUGAGUGUAUCAUUUCAAAAAGUUCCGAUAUGUUCAUCCAAAGACUUAUUCUUGAACAAUCAUGGCUAAAGAUAAUUUUAUAUUAUGUUGUAUAUUCAAUACAUAUUUUUUUUUAUGAAAAUAACCUUUGAUAAGGAUAUUAAUGUUACUAUUAUUAAUACCAUUAUUUUCAUUUAAAUUUUCUAUUUGUUAUAUCAUGAUAUAUACUGUAAACAAAGUAUGAUUGAGGACACAUAUUAAAAAGUUGAUAAUUUAUCGAUAGUUUUGUUAUAUACUUCUUUUGCCUCCUUAAUUGAAUAAAUCUAUUUCGUCAAGUCAGAUAGAUCAAUAUUCUUUAUUCAUAAUUUUUUUUAUCACUAGAUAAAUUGAUUAGCUUAGAUGUUGAUCCAAAUCUUUUAUUUUUUGGGGGAUAAUUUUUAUCUUAUUAAUGAUAAUUUCAUGCAUAGUCAUGCAGAAAUAUUUGUGGCUAAAGUACAUAAAAUAGAAAAAAA
rnacentral:lncRNA from 1 species